rnacentral:lncRNA from 1 species
UCGAAAAGCCACGCCCCCAAAGCUCAAAUCCACGCUUCCUUGAGCUGCAGAAAGUGAAUCGGGAGGAGCGGAAGUGAAGGACCGGAAGAGGCUGUGAGUACUUCCGGAAAGGGGCGGCCGCUCUGGUCGUGGGAUUCGUGUGCUCUGGGAGCUGCCCCAUGGCUGCGCCCCCCCCGUCCCCAUUUGUGUCCUCGUUGGAUUUCUGCCCCGACUGCGGCUCUGUGCUGCCCCACAUCGGCCCCACACAAACGGCCCCGCAGUGCCGGCAGUGCGCCUUCACCCCACACAGCAGCGGUAAGGGGGGC